AACGAACGCUGGCGGCAUGCCUAACACAUGCAAGUCGAACGAGGCCUUCGGGUCUAGUGGCGCACGGGUGCGUAACGCGUGGGAACCUGCCCUUAGGUUCGGAAUAACUCCCCGAAAGGGGUGCUAAUACCGGAUAAUGUCUUCGGACCAAAGAUUUAUCGCCUUUGGAUGGGCCCGCGUUGGAUUAGCUAGUUGGUAGGGUAAAAGCCUACCAAGGCGACGAUCCAUAGCUGGUCUGAGAGGAUGAUCAGCCACACUGGGACUGAGACACGGCCCAGACUCCUACGGGAGGCAGCAGUGGGGAAUAUUGGACAAUGGGCGAGAGACUGAUCCAGCAAUGCCGCGUGAGUGAUGAAGGCCUUAGGGUUGUAAAGCUCUUUUACCCGGGAUGAUAAUGACAGUACCGGGAGAAUAAGCUCCGGCUAACUCCGUG
rnacentral:rRNA from 1 species